rnacentral:piRNA from 1 species
UAUCCUCUGAAUGAGAUGGCCCAGGACUU